rfam:Gossypium raimondii Chr04_contig_336, whole genome shotgun sequence.
AUCCUAUGAUGGGGGCAAUUCCUUAGCAAUGAUUUAAAACAUUCCCACGCCUCAUAUAGGUUCUCUCCCUCUAUCUGCUUAAAGUUUGCGAUGUCGCGCCUUGGUU